CUUCGGGUUGUAAAUCGCUUUUCUGUGCGAAGAGGAAGGACGGUAACGCAGGAAGAAGUCUCUGGCUAACUACGUGCCAGCGAGCCGGGGGUAUAACGUACGAGGCCGAGCUGUUAUUCUCGGAUUCACUGUGGUUGUAAAUGCGCCGUGCAGGCGGACAUGUAAGUGGUGCCUGAAAGCGCCCGGCUCAACCGGUCGAUUGCCCGUGCCAUACUGCGUGACUGGAGCCAGCUAGAGGCGCGUGCGAAUUCCGGGUGUACUUGGUGAAAUGCGUAGAUAUCCGGAGGAACACCAGUGACGAAGCCGGCGCGCUGGGCCAGACCUGACGCUAAGACGCGAAAGCAUGGGGAGCGAACGGGAUUAGAAACCCCGGUAGUCCAUGCCGUAAACGCUGCAGACUAGCUCUUGCGUGCGUACGAGUAUACAGUGCCGAAGCCAACGUGAUAAGUCUGCCACAUGGGGACUACGGCCGCAAGGUUAAAACUCAAAGGAAUUGACGGGGGCCCGCACAAGCAGCGGAGCGUGUGGUUUAAUUAGAGGCUACACGAAGAACCUGACCUGGGCUAGACAUGCCGGUGGUAGGGAACCGAAAGGGGACCGACAUUCGGGAGCCGUCACAGGUGCUGCAUGGCUGUCAGUCAGCUCGUGUCGUGAGAUGUUCGGUUAAGUCCGGUAACGAGCGCAACCCUCGCCGAUAGAUUACAAGUGUCUAGCGGGACGUGACGCCGUUGUACACCGGGAGGAAGGUGGGGAUGACGUCAAGUUAGUAUGGCCUUUAUGUCCAGGGCUACACACACGGUACAAUGACCGGUACAAUGGGUCGCCAACCCGCGAGGGGGAGCCAAUCCAUCAAAGCCGGUCUCAGUUCGGGUUGCAGGCUGCAACCCGCCUGCAUGAAGUCGGAGUUGCUAGUAACCGCAGGUCAGCUAUACUCCGGUGAAUACGUUCCCGGGCCUUGUACACACCGCCCGUCACGUCAUGGGAGCUGGUCAUGCAUGAAGUCGGUGGGCUAACCUCACGGA
rnacentral:rRNA from 1 species